UGUCGAUGAAGAGCGCAGCCAACUGUGUGAAUUAAUGUGAACUGCAUACUGCUUUGAACAUCGACAACUUGAACGCACAUUGCGGCCACGGGUUAGCCUGUGGCCACGCCCGUCCGAGGGUCG
rnacentral:rRNA from 3 species